rnacentral:rRNA from 1 species
AUUGAACGCUGGCGGCAUGCUUUACACAUGCAAGUCGAACGGGGUGAGGGGGCAACUCCUCAUUCAGUGGCGAACGGGAGAGUAAUGCAUCGGAACGUGUCCCGUAGUGGGGGAUAACGCCGGGAAACCGGCGCUAAUACCGCAUAUGCUCUACGGAGGAAAGUGGGGGACCGCAAGGCCUCACGCUAUGGGAGCGGCCGAUGUCCGAUUAGCUUGUUGGCGGGGUAAAGGCCCACCAAGGCGACGAUCGGUAGCUGGUCUGAGAGGAUGAUCAGCCACACUGGGACUGAGACACGGCCCAGACUCCUACGGGAGGCAGCAGUGGGGAAUUUUGGACAAUGGGGGCAACCCUGAUCCAGCCAUGCCGCGUGCGGGAAGAAGGCCUUCGGGUUGUAAACCGCUUUUAGCCGGAAAGAAAAGGCACGCCCUAAUACGGCGUGUUCUUGACGGUACCGGCGGAAUAAGCACCGGCUAACUACGUGCCAGCCGCCGCCGUAA